CCGAUAGCGUACAUUAAAGUUGUUGCAGUUAAAAAGCUCGUAGUUGAAUUUCGGGGUUAGUAGGUUGGUCAUGCCUCUGGUAUGUACUGGUCUCACUGAUUCCUCCUUCCUGAUGAGCCGUAAUGCCAUUAAUUUGGUGUUGCGGGGAAUUUGGACUGUUACUUUGAAAAAAUUAGAGUGUUUAAAGCAAGCUAACGCUUGAAUACAUUAGCAUGGAAUAAUGAAAUAGGACGUUCGAUCCUAUUUUGUUGGUUUCUAGGAUUGACGUAAUGAUUAAUAGGGAUAGUUGGGGGCAUUAGUAUUCAAUUGUCAGAGGUGAAAUUCUUGGAUUUAUUGAAGACUAACUACUGCGAAAGCAUUUGCCAAGGAUGUUUUCAUUAAUCAAGAACGAAAGUUAGGGGAUCGAAGACGAUCAGAUACCGUCGUAGUCUUAACCAUAAACUAUGCCGACUAGGGAUCGGAUGAUGUUAAUUUUUUAAUGACUCAUUCGGCGCCUUACG
rnacentral:rRNA from 1 species